CGUGAGACAGUUCGGUCCCUAUCCGGCGUGGGCGUAGGAUAUUUGAGAGGAGCUGUCCUUAGUACGAGAGGACCGGGAUGGACUGACCUCUGGUGUACCUGUUGCGUUACCAAGCGCAUGGCAGGGUAGCCAAGUCGGGACGGGAUAAACGCUGAAGGCAUCUAAGCGUGAAGCCCCCCUCAAGAUGAGAUAUCCCAUUCGUAAGAAUUAAGACCCCUUGAAGACGACGAGGUUGAUAGGUCAGAGGUGGAAGUGCAGUAAUGUAUGCAGCUGACUGAUACUAAUAGGUCGAGGGCUUAUCCAUAA
rnacentral:rRNA from 1 species